rnacentral:rRNA from 1 species
ACGUAGGCUCCAAGCGUUGUCCGGAUUUAUUGGGCGUAAAGAGCUCGUAGGCGGUUUAGUAAGUCGGGUGUGAAAACUCUGGGCUUAACCCAGAGACGCCAUCCGAUACUGCUGUGACUUGAGUUCAGGAGGGGAGCGGGGAAUUCCUAGUGUAGCGGUGAAAUGCGCAGAUAUUAGGAGGAACACCGGUGGCGAAGGCGCCGCUCUGGACUGAAACUGACGCUGAGGAGCGAAAGCAUGGGUAGCAAACAGGAUUAGAUACCCUGGUAGUCCAUGCCGUAAACGGUGGGCACUAGGUGUGGGUUUCAACUAACGAAAUCCGCGCCGUCGCUAACGCAUUAAGUGCCCCGCCUGGGGAGUACGGUCGCAAGACUA